UAGCCCUCUCCUCCUUCCUCUCCCACUGUCUUUCCACAGCCACUACCGCUUCCCUCUCUUCCGCUCACUCCCGCUAUUAUCUCUCUCUCUCUCUCAUUAACCGCCUCGGCCCCCUUGCCGGCGCCAUCACCUCCACGAGCAAGCUCUCUCUCUCUCUCUCUCUCUCUCUCUCUCUCGGAUCUCGGAGGACUGAAAGAAGGCAAAGAACCUUCAGUUUCAGUUCUCAGUUACCGACAUUCAGAAACCGGAGAUGGGAUCUGGUGCUGGAAGUUUCCUCAAAGUUCUCCUUAAAAACUUCGAUGUUCUUGCUGGGCCUGUGGUUAGUUUGGUUUAGCCACUGUAUGCCUCAAUUCGGGUUAUAGAGACCAAAUCACCAACUGAUGAUCGCCAAUGGCUUACGUAUUGGAUUCUCUACUUUAUGAUUACACUCUUUGAGCUCACUUUUGCCAAACUUAUUGAGUGAUCAUAAUACAUGCCUGAUUGGAGAAGACGAGCACUGCUACAGUGACAAUCAUGUGUCAAACAUUGAAGGUGGUUGCUAUGCUAAGUGCAUUGAUUUGUCAAAAGACAAGCAACCAAAUAUUUGGAAUUCUAUCAAAUUUGAGACUGGCCAAAUAAAGGAGGUCCUUCUAAGCUACACUCAAAGUUCAUUUGAUUAACCCUUCAGUCAAGAUCCGCCUUCUUUUGGCUAUCAGUUAAGACAUAGGAGAGGAAAAUCAGAAACUACUCGACAUUCUUUAUCUCUGGGCAUGCUGUGGCUCGACACUCUGCAGAGGGCAUCACAAAGAACCUGUGGGUUGCAAUCCUGCAACUGCUUCUUUAUCAGCUUAUUUCGCCUGAUUUUGUCAACCCAUUAUCCAAUCUUUUCUUAAGGCUUCCUUUUUCCCGAAGGUUACAGAGAGGGAUUAAAAACAACUAUUAAAGGAAAAACGCAGGGAUGUUUAUGCUUUGCUUUUCUAUCUACUGGCGGUUGGAAGUGGCAUUUUGAUUGGUGGAUUAGAGGCUUGAGAAGAGGAAGAUAUAUGCAUGUUUGGUAAGUGUAGGAUUGGGAAAACUAUUCCUCUUAAUCAACAGCUUAGGAUUAUUCUUAAUCAUGUAAUGCGAUACAUGAAGGACAUUAUAAAUGAUGACACGUUUUCAUUUCCGACCAAGGUAUAUGCAUUAUAGUUUGAUGGAAACUUUGGUUUAAUUAUAGUGGGCAGAUUAUGACUUAUGUGGGCAGAUUUUAUAGUGGGCAGAUUAUGACUUAUGUUAUUGAAUAUAUUUAUAGUGGCCAGCGAAGACUCGGAAAGUAUACACCCAAGAUGAACUUGACGAGGUCUGCAUUGAAGUAGCUGACUAUUUGCAGACUUUGCUAUAGAUGCUGACUCUACCAAAGUGAUUAUGAGUAAGGCUAGCUAGAUUUUGUAGAAUCAUUUUGAAGUAGAAUGUUGUACAGUUGCAGGUGAACUAAACUGCAUAUAGUUAUUGCAAUGGUCUAUUUUGGGCUAGCCUUGAUGUAGGUUGGAGUGUUUUUGCCUAUUUUUGAAACUAUUAAUAAUUCUGCUGUUCGACAGAAAUUAAUGCAAUGCCCCAU